rnacentral:lncRNA from 1 species
CGGAGAUGGUGGAUCUUCUGGUUGAUUUUGCGAAGCAGAGUCCCACCAACCUCCUGCUGGGUAAACACAUUUUGAGUAAUAAACAGGAAAAGGAGAAUGAAGAGGAUGAAGAAGAGAAGAAAGAGAGACAAUUGAGACUGGUACCUUAUGCUCUGAUUCUUCCCUCUGGAACACACAGGAGACACCCUUGGAACGCAGAGCCUUCUCUUCUAGAGGCUGAGCAUGUCCAGCUGUCAACAGUUCCUGAUGAGGAGCCACUGUGGUGUCCGCAAAGAGCAGGUGCUCCUGAGCUGUAGCACCUUUGACUGGUACAGUCAAAUCUUGGCCAAGUGACAUCACCCCGAGCCUUAGAUUCCUAACCUAUUAAUAUGUUCGCACCUUUAAGAUACAGGGC